GCGGCGGCGAGGCCGUUUCGCUCGCCGCCAUUUUGCGCAGCGGGCUCUGAGGAGCAGCAGCCGGGGCGCGUCUCCUCCUCCUCCUCACCACCACCACCACCAUGUCGCGGGAUCGGUUCCGUAGCCGUGGCGGCGGCGGCGGCGGCUUCCACCGGCGAGGCGGCGGCGGUGGCCGCGGCGGCCCCAACCACGAUUUCCGCUCCCCGCCGCCCGGCAUGGGGAUGGGCCAGAACCGCGGGCCCAUGGGGGGCGGCCCGCAAGGCCCGGGCGGCCCGCCGGGCGGCGGCCCCAAGCCCGAACCCCCGAAGCCUCCCGCGUCGACCUCGGCUCCGCCGCCUUCGUCCUCUUCGUCCGCUUCCACCACGGCGGGGCCCGCCGGCAGCCAGCCCGGCCCUGGGGCUCCUCCGCCGGCCGCUCUGCCCGCGGGGCAGCCGCCGCAGCAGCAGGCUCAGGGCUCCGCGCCCGCCUCGGCUCCCCCCGGCCCCGGGGGGCAGCCUCAACCGCAGCCCAAGCCCAGCCCCAGCCCCACGCCGGCCGGAGGCCCUAAGAAAGGCCAAGGACAAUCGCCCGGCGGCGGGCCCAAGGGGCCUGGCGGACCCCAGCAGGGGCCGGGCGGGCCUCAUAAAGGCGGACCGGGCCACCGCGGCGGGCCGGGCGGAGAACCGCGGGGCCGCGGGCAGCAGCACCAGGGACAGCAGAGCCUCUCAUCGCAGCAGGGCCCGGCCGGAGGCGGCGGAGGCGAGAAGCUUUCGGACGAGGGUUUUAAAGCGAAUCUGUCGCUUCUGAGGCGGCCCGGGGAGAAGACCUAUACGCAGCGCUGCCGUUUGUUUGUGGGGAAUUUGCCUGCCGAUAUAACGGAUGAAGACUUUAAGAGGUUGUUUGCCAAGUAUGGGGAGCCAGGAGAGGUUUUUAUCAACAAAGGGAAAGGCUUUGGAUUCAUUAAACUGGAAUCCAGAGCUCUUGCAGAAAUCGCAAAGGCAGAAUUGGAUGAUACCCCUAUGAGGGGUCGACAGCUUCGUGUUCGGUUUGCCACACAUGCUGCUGCUCUGUCAGUGCGUAAUCUGUCACCUUAUGUCUCCAACGAGUUACUCGAGGAAGCGUUUUCCCAGUUUGGUCCAGUGGAAAGAGCUGUUGUGAUUGUAGAUGAUCGAGGUAGAUCAACAGGAAAAGGCAUUGUUGAAUUUGCAUCAAAGCCAGCUGCUCGAAAAGCGUUUGAACGGUGUACUGAAGGAGUGUUUUUGUUGACAACAACUCCUAGGCCGGUUAUUGUGGAACCACUGGAACAGCUGGAUGAUGAAGAUGGUCUUCCAGAAAAGCUUGCUCAGAAGAAUCCAAUGUAUCAAAAGGAAAGAGAGACUCCUCCCCGUUUUGCUCAGCCUGGCAGUUUUGAAUUUGAGUAUUCCCAGAGGUGGAAAUCUUUAGAUGAAAUGGAAAAACAGCAGAGAGAGCAAGUGGCAAAAAACAUGAAAGAUGCCAAGGACAAACUUGAAAGUGAGAUGGAAGAUGCUUAUCAUGAGCAUCAGGCAAACCUCUUGCGUCAAGAUCUUAUGAGGCGUCAGGAGGAACUGAGACGUAUGGAAGAACUCCAUAAUCAAGAAAUGCAGAAACGCAAGGAAAUUCAGCUGAGGCAGGAGGAGGAGCGUCGCAGGCGGGAAGAAGAAAUGAUGAUACGCCAGCGAGAGAUGGAAGAACAGAUGAGAAGACAGAGGGAAGAGAAUUAUAGUAGAAUGGGUUACAUGGAUCCAAGGGAGAGAGACAUGAGAAUGGGUGGUGCCACCACAAUGAACAUGGGAGAUCCUUAUGCUUCUGCAGCCCAGAAAUUUCCACCUCUCGGAGGUGGUGGCGGCAUAGGUUAUGAAGCUAAUCCAGGAGUUGGCCAAGCAGCCAUGAGUGGUUCUAUGAUGGGAAGUGACAUGCGUCCUGAACGCUUUGGGCAGGGAGGUGCGGGGCCUGUGGGUGGCCAGGGUCCUAGAGGAAUGGGGCCUGGAACGCCAACAGGAUAUGGUAGAGGGAGAGAAGAAUAUGAAGGCCCAAACAAAAAGCCCCGAUUUUAGAUGUGACCUGUAGUUUCAUUCCAGUUUGUUUUGUCUGUCUUGUUUAGACACCAACUUUUUAAUUCUUGCAUUUUAGUAAGAAAGCUACGUUUUUAUGGAUGUUAGAAACUUACUGACCUAAUAUUUGUAAGUGGUCUGUUUGGGCGAGUACAAUUUAAUUAUGUAAUGCAGUGUUUCAAAGCAAAUUUAGCUGUUUUUUUGAUGUAUAACGUCCCUAACUUGAUGGCAGUGUACCUUGUGCCACUGAAUUCCCAAAGUGUACCAACUUUUUUUUACUGUGCUUCAAAUAAAUAGAAAACUAAAUGUAGUAACUUUUCUUGCCAUUCAUGGUUAAAUUAAGAGGCUAAAUACCACACCUUCAGCAGUAAACCAAGAGUCUUGCCACAGAGGUCAAACCAGACCAGGGUGUGGAACUGUAGUGAAGAGCUGAGAUCUCUUCCUGCAACGCCUCUAGCUUAAGAUUGGGUCAAACAGUAGCUUAACUUUCUAGUAGGUGCAGAUUUUUUAAGCAUUAAUUGUGCUGCAAUAAGGAAGCAAAUGGAAAUCUUGCAGGUGCUGUAAGAUAAUGGUCAUGAAAGCUACACUGCAAGUAAUGCAGUAUGCAAUGAAUUUCAUAUUAUAGCUAUGGAUAAUGGGUGGUGGGAUGAUAGCACUUACCACCUUGGCAGUUACUGCUUGGAAUUUUUUAAAGUCUUUAAGCAGAAGACUUAGCAAUGGUUAUUUUAAAAAUAAAUCCAUAGAAAGACUUGUAUUGACUGACUUCCUAUCUUACGGAUUAUUAUUGAGUUAUUUAUAUGCUCUUAAGCUGUUUGAGAUUCCAGGAUCUGGCCUUGCUCCGUAUUGUAUAUCUGCCUGAAAUUGCUUGGCAAAAAGACCAGAAGUGCUACUUGAGUGAUGAGGGGAGAACCUGCUAAUUCAUACUUGUAACUUGCUUAUGUCCUCAUGCUAAUUGAGUGGACUAAUUUGCAUAGUUCAGAAUUCAAUUGUAUUAUGGGGGCUGCAGCAAUUAGUCUUUAAGUCUUGUAGCUGGUGGGUAAAUCCUAAAUGCCUGUAUGUAAAAUACAGAGAAACGAGCAUUCUUGCACGAUGGUUAUUGCUAUUAUUGAUGUGGGGAGGUAAUGCAUCAAAAGCAGUAUCUAAAUCUGGAGCUAACAGUUAAUACUGCACAGUACAAAUAAACUCCCUUCAAGGCUGUUUUGUAGGUCUGAUGAAUUCAUUAGCUUGCUGAUAACUUCGUUAAGCCCCAGAAGAAUUUCAAAGCAUUCUGGACUCAUAAGGUAGCUGCUUUGCUUAUUAUGACACUGUACUAGAUGAGCUGGGAACGUGACUUCCCAGCAUAAAAUGCCUUGGUGUUAAUGCAGGAUACAUCAACCUGCUUGGCACAAAGUAGGUAAACUUUGGCUGUACCUUCACACCACUCCCCAACUCCCGAGCAUUCUGUGAGUAGCUUUAAUCUUACCAAGAUCUUUCCACUCCUUGUGCGAAGCAUUGGCUAAUUCUAAAUUCUAUGCUAAAUUUUCUCUGUGGUUAAAAGUUGUCAGACUGCAGUAUUUUAGAGUGCGGAUGAUCGCUCUUGAAGUACUCACUGUAAGUGCUGUUACUCCUCAAAUGAAAAAAAAUAUAGCAGGUUGUGAAAUAUUGAUAACAGGUAACACUGACUUGGGAAUAUUCAGUGCACUAAAUAGUGACUCAGCUGGUUUGGUGAAUGCUUCUUAUUUUCACAGAGAAGUGUGGAGGUUGAUAACAUGCUAAGACAAUGAAUUGCUAUUCAGGAAAUUCCGAAUUGGCAGUUCCUAAACUGCAGACCAGGUAUUUGGGAGUACUCGUAUUGGAUACUUAGCCUAAAAAUCAGCAGUCCCACUGCAAUUUGCUUUAAGUAGUCCUAAAUAAUGCUUAUGUUUUCUGCAGGGUGUUCAUGGGACACCCACAAGAAGUGAAGGUGUCUGAGAUGGGGAAUUCUGAACGUAAACAUUUAAAUUAAUUUUUUCAGUUUAUUUUUCAGAUUACAUGUCAUUCUUUAUUAAAGAGAUGCCGGUGCAUAUCCUAAAGUAUGUUCUCUUGUAGCUCUGUAACUUUGAAGAGUGAAGGAUGCUGAUGUCCUUGUACCUUACAGAGGUUCUCUCUUGGUACCCCUGUUUUGUAUGUAAGCUCCUGUUGCUAGGUACUAAAAAUCGAUGAGUUGCAAAACCAUGACCAGUAAAUACAUAGAAGAAUCAGCAGUUUUCAAAACACCUGAAAGUUUGGUUAAAUGUGGCUUCGUUGUAGCUGCAUAAGCAGAAUUCCUAAAACUCUAAAGUUCUGCUUUGAGUUGCAUGUAUUCAACAGGCAUACAAGUAAAUAGCCAACUGGAUUUCAAGACCUUUUAAAGGUGGUGUCUUAAAAGCUGGCAAACAAUUUAAGACUGAUAAAGUUACUAAAUGUGGGAGGUGAGACGGUUAUGUUCCUUUGAUCUGAUCCUAUGAGGUUUUGGACUUUUUUCAUAAAAUCAGAUUGAUGUAAUUGAAUCUUUAAAACAACUUAGAAAAGUGCUUGGUUGGUCAGACCUAUUUUUGGAUGGUCUGGCUCACAACACCUUUUUGUACUGGACUUGGAGGACAUUGGCUGUUGCAAUUUAGCUCGCUUUAACAAAAUUGAGCCCAUUUUGACAUUUAGAUAUCUAAAAACUGCAGCAUGUAGAAACUGGUAUCGUUAUCCAUAUCUUCACGCUUCCUCAGAAAUGAAUACAGAAUAAUCUUAUCUUCUGGUGUAGACACAUUACACUAAUCAUUUAUACAGCUGACGAGAAACUGAAACUGCUUCUGAGAUUUUGUGGUAUUUUUGUGGUAGAAAAAUUCUUGGCUUCUCCUUGGCAACCAUUUGCUGUGGCAGCAAGUUUUUGCUGGAGUUUUUGAGACUGCAAUUUACACUUAAAACUAGUGGCCUGCUACAUAACUGCACUUAGCCAGCAUUUCUGCAGUUCAUAACUGUGAGGAACGUAGUACCACAAAUGGCAAUGGACAUUAGGACCCGGAUGUAGUAUUCCUGCUUGCUCCAAGAUUCUCAUUGCCGACUGCGUACAGGUAGGUAACAAGCAAUAUAAUAUAACUUGGUGACUUUCUAUGUAAUCUUAUACUGUGGGUAUUCUGACAUCACACUUCUGACUGUGGAAUUACAGUGCAGCACUCCUCAUACCUGUAUGCUAAACUUGCAUCAAAGCUGCGUGGUUUUCGGUUUUAAGCUUUGUCUUGUUCAGAGUCAAUAAGCAACUUACUGUGAUUCUUAGAUAAGUAUUUCCAGACCCGAUUCCUUUGUACAUACAACUCGGCUUGUGUGAAUUUUUCUCAGCUACGAUGUAACGAAGAUGUUCUUAGACGAGCUCUGUGGGGAAGAGGGGAUGUGACCUUACACUCAGUUAACUAGUCAACUAGGUGCUAUCAGUGCCUAGAAAAGCAUCGUUUACACUUCCUGUAGUGACCAAGUGGCCCAUCUGCAGUGCAUCCCUUUGUAGAGUCUUGGCUCGGUAGGAAAUGUGUUAGUAAUCACUGCUCUAGCCCUCUGUGAACUGAUAGUCAAAGCUCACUAAUACAGCCAGCUUUAAGACUGAUUGGGAAUAUUUCUCAGGACAUACAAAUGAGUGCUUGAAUGAAUAUCCCUGUAAAAGUUCGGUAGAGCUUAUUGGAAAUUUCAGUUGUCUUUAUUUUAAUUAAUCCUUGAUUGACAAGCAUAUCACAUUUCUCUGCCUUUAAUUGCUAGUGGUGAGAUUCUGUAUUUCUGCCUCUUAGUCAUCUUGGUAGUGUAACGCUCAAUUUCAUUUUUCAUCAGUCUCGAGGAUGUAAUUCUAAACUCUUCAUUGCUAAAAAUGCUGAAUGUAGUGUUUCAGGAUAAACAUGCUUACGUUUCCAGACAUCCAGACACGCUGAUCUCCAGCUCUUUUGCAUUAGUUCUUGAACCUGAAUUUCAAGGUCCCUCGUUUCAGCACAUGAUCCAGCCUCUUGUCUGAUCAGUUUAUUUCAGAGGUGUUGUAAUGUGUUUUCCCCUUUGUUCUGCAAAGCUCUACUUUGCAAUCAUUGUUUCUGGUAUUUUGGACCAUUCUGUGUUACCUUCCAAAAAAUACUCUUGCUGGUGAACAGGUGAUCUGCUGGCCAGCCUUGCCCUCUGUCUGCUGUAGUUAGCUUUUCAGUGUUCCAUUGAAAGCAGCUGCACCUUAAACUUAAGAUCAUAAUACCAGGUCUUUGGUUACACCACAGUGAGUGUAGCUGAACACUAGCUAGUCAAGCAGUGGCACCACUUGUCACAUCCAGUUCGGCUUUUUGGUGAUGGCUUACUCUUAAUCUGCGACUAGAAUUUAGUAGCAAAACUGCUGACAGUACGCAUCGCAUGCUGUCGUGUAGCAAACCUGAACUGCUAAUCCUGAAACCAGUGCUCAGCUCUAACUUAGUAUGUCCAGUGUGCUCUGGAUACUUGACUUGACCUGUAGGAAUGUCGUGGAGGGGUUAUUGGCACAUCUGCUUUGUUCUACAUACUUAAACUAGUAGGAUUUUGACACUCUUGGAGCAAGCAAUCUGUGACUGAACCAUGGGUCUCAUACUAGCUCUGACUGUCUGCAGUAAUGAAACUUGGUGUGGUAGAUAACUUAAAAGCCAGUCUGUAACAAGUGGGUACCAAGAAAUGACAUUAAAGUGCUUGCAUUGUGUUUCAUCUUGAAUUUCUACCUGUGUGUGAAAUACACUUUUUCUCAAAAAAAAAAAAAAAAAGCUUAUAUAAAGCUUAUCUGAAGCUCAGAAGUGUGGUGUCAGAAUACAUAUGCGUACCUGUUAGGCCCUCAGAUCCAGAAUCUGGUGCUGUCAGGAGAGAGCACAGCAUAGCGUGUAUGGGGGCUUUACUGUAACAUUAAGCAUACAAAGUGUUGAUUUGCUUGCAGUUUUCCCCAUAGCUAAACACUGAGGCCUGUGAGUAGUUCUAGGACUUCAGCAGUAAUGGGGUUGCAUGUCUCUGUUAAUCAUUGCCAGCUGCAGUGACAUGAUCAGGAAGGCCAGCGUUUUGUUCCAUUCUCUUAAAUAAGGCUAAGCAUGUUGGAAAGGAUGCAUAAAAAGUUAUGCUGUUCUGGGUAAAUACUUGGCUUCUUCCACUACUAGCAAGUUUGGAAUCUGCUAAUUAGCUUCAGAUUUUUCUCUCCAUGCCAGCUAGUGGGGCUCUUAAAUAGCUGCUUACUGGAAAAGGAAAAAAUAAAACGGGAGGAUUGGCCUUCUCCCACUUCUGUCAUUGCUGCUAGAUAAUGAUUGACAUGUUAGGACUUGGCUGUGCAAUCCCGCAGUGGUCUGUGAAUACCCCAUCUCUAUAAAUGUUGCUUUUGAACACCAGUACUGAAGAGCUAACUGGGGAGGGUUGGGAGGAGUGUGCCUCUAAGUGAAUCUGGAGUGUUAAAAGGAUGCACAAAGAUAUAGUAUCCCUUAUGCAUGGUGUUUGUUGCUAUGGCAUAGAAAACAAAAUGUGCAUACUAUACUUCUGCUCCUGAGGGCCAUGAUAAAACCCAGGUGGUGGGUUUGAGACUAAACUUGAACUUGUCCCUACCUGGUCAAAUCACAUUGUGACCGUAGUGUGAUUUGCCUCCCAACAAGAGGUGUGCACAGAACGUUGUACUACUACAUCCCCUAGUUGCUAACUAUUGCAGCUUGCCCUCACCUUAGCUACAGUAAAAGGGUGGGUCUUUAGAAGGGAAGAAUCUCUUGCUUAGAAUAAAAGCAGUCUGACGAUGCUAAUCAAUAGUGUCUUCCUUUGGCUUUUGAAGCACUCCUAGGACUAUUGAACCGAGGGCUACUAGGAAUUAGGGACACUGCACUCCUUCACGAAGCAGAAGGAAGAGGGCAUUGUACAGGAAUCAAACUAGGUUAAAAUAGUUGAAGUAGCUUGAUAAAAUUAAUGCCUUCACAUAAGGGAUAGUAUACCUCUGGCUGCAAUCAAACUUCAUUGUACUCAGACUGGUGAUUUACGGUUUGUGCUCAGACAAGGUGCAGUUCUUCAGGCAACUACAUGCAUAUUCCUUCACCUCUUUACAAAUGUUUAGGCUAGCCUGUUUCUGCCCCUUAUUCUUCCACUUAAUAUUUUGGAAUAAUUUGUAAAUUCCCCCUCAUAACUAAUCAGUCCACAUAUCUUAAAACUUUGCUUUUAAGUUAGUUUUGAAAUGGCCAUAACUUGCUGUGUAUUAUAAUAAUAACUUCAAUUGUUAUCCUUUAGGUGAAGAUGCAAGCUGAGUGAAACUGGAGUGCUCAUCCAUUGGAAUUCAGGAGCUGAGCAUGAGCACAUCCAGCACGAUGUCCAGUGAUAUGUGAAUGGACCGAGAAAACAAGUGAACAAGUAAGUAGAUGCUGUCCUUAGGCUACUGCUCUGGUAGAGCAGUGCAUCACUGUGAUGUCAAGGUAGUUCCUGCCUGGAAUUUGCCUCUGAUUUUAAUCUCAAUUUUACGUGAAAAUGAUAAAUCUUUCUUUUGUAGAGCCAAGAUCUAACCAUUGUUUGAGGCUUUUCAGCCCUGCAGCAUCAAAUAAACUGUCAUCUGAACACUGUAGGUGGUCAAACAAGAAAUAAGCGUUUUUAAGUCAAGGUUCAAGUGGAAGGGGUAUGAAUAGGAUGGAGUGAUGUUGUCAGCAAGGAAAACAGGAAUAAAGCAGCUACUUAUCUGUUAAUCUAGCUAAAAGUUGUUAAAAGUGUUACUUAUCUGAAAUAGUGAGCAUUGAACUUUCAAAAUUACCUGCAAGAUAAGUUAGUGCGUACAAGAACGUAAGCCAGUAGUGGUUUAGGGAAAUAAACUAAUCUGCACAGCUGGAAUUAAUGAAAUUUUCCCUCUAAUUUGUUACUUAAACUACAAGGGGGAGCUUCAGAUAUUUUAAAUCUUGUGUGAGGAGCAGCAUGCAAAAGUACCUUAACACAUGAGUGAGGGGUAAGUAAUGCUUAGCCAUGCCACAGCUGAACCUGUAAGACGUGAAACCAGUGAGAUUCAAUUGGUGAACUCCUAUUGAAUCCUGUGUGAUUUGUCACCACUGCCCUUGUUUCUGGGGUAGUAAAACAAAGCCACUUGAUCUUUAGAGGUAGAUGAAAACAUGAAUGCUAUUUGUUUUAUCUCCAGUCUGAUGUAAGAUCUUAUGAUCAUAAAGAGUAUUUGAUAGGUGCAUGACCUUUGUGAUAACUGAUUCCCUUUCCAUGUCAUUGUGUGUGGUUUCUGGUGGAAUUUUAAAGUUCUUGCUAACUAUGUGUUUUUUACUUGCAGAAGAAGUCCAAAUGCAGUGAAGAGGAGCCAGGAACAUGCCAGUUUUUUACGAAUAAAAUAUUUAAUUUUU